rnacentral:rRNA from 1 species
CCCUCUCGGGUUACCGAAUUCAGACAAACUCCGAAUGCCAAUUAAUUUAACUUGGGAGUCAGAACAUGGGUGAUAAGGUCCGUGUUCGAAAGGGAAACAGCCCAGACCACCAGCUAAGGUCCCAAAAUAUAUGUUAAGUGGAAAAGGAUGUGGCGUUGCCCAGACAACUAGGAUGUUGGCUUAGAAGCAGCCAUCAUUUAAAGAGUGCGUAAUAGCUCACUAGUCGAGUGACACUGCGCCGAAAAUGUACCGGGGCUAAACAUAUUACCGAAGCUGUGGAUUGUCCUUUGGACAAUGGUAGGAGAGCGUUCUAAGGGCGUCGAAGCAUGAUCGCAAGGACAUGUGGAGCGCUUAGAAGUGAGAAUGCCGGUGUGAGUAGCGAAAGACGGGUGAGAAUCCCGUCCACCGAUUGACUAAGGUUUCCAGAGGAAGGCUCGUCCGCUCUGGGUUAGUCGGGUCCUAAGCUGAGGCCGACAGGCGUAGGCGAUGGAUAACAGGUUGAUAUUCCUGUACCACCUAGUAUCGUUUUAAUCGAUGGGGGGGACGCAGUAGGAUAGGCGAAGCGUGCUGUUGGAGUGCACGUCCAAGCAGUAAGGCUGAGUGUUAGGCAAAUCCGGCACUCAUAAGGCUGAGCUGUGAUGGGGAGAGGAAAUUGUUUCCUCGAGUCGUUGAUUUCACACUGCCGAGAAAAGCCUCUAGAUAGAUAACAGGUGCCCGUACCGCAAACCGACACAGGUAGUCAAGAUGAGAAUUCUAAGGUGAGCGAGCGAACUCUCGUUAAGGAACUCGGCAAAAUGACCCCGUAACUUCGGGAGAAGGGGUGCUCUUUAGGGUUCACGCCCAGAAGAGCCGCAGUGAAUAGGCCCAAGCGACUGUUUAUCAAAAACACAGGUCUCUGCUAAACCGUAAGGUGAUGUAUAGGGGCUGACGCCUGCCCGGUGCUGGAAGGUUAAGAGGAGUGGUUAGCUUCUGCGAAGCUACGAAUCGAAGCCCCAGUAAACGGCGGCCGUAACUAUAACGGUCCUAAGGUAGCGAAAUUCCUUGUCGGGUAAGUUCCGACCCGCACGAAAGGCGUAACGAUUUGGGCACUGUCUCAACGAGAGACUCGGUGAAAUCAUAGUACCUGUGAAGAUGCAGGUUACCCGCGACAGGACGGAAAGACCCCGUGGAGCUUUACUGUAGCCUGAUAUUGAAAUUCGGCACAGCUUGUACAGGAUAGGUAGGAGCCUUUGAAACGUGAGCGCUAGCUUACGUGGAGGCGUUGGUGGGAUACUACCCUAGCUGUGUUGGCUUUCUAACCCGCACCACUUAUCGUGGUGGGAGACAGUGUCAGGCGGGCAGUUUGACUGGGGCGGUCGCCUCCUAAAAGGUAACGGAGGCGCUCAAAGGUUCCCUCAGAAUGGUUGGAAAUCAUUCAUAGAGUGUAAAGGCAUAAGGGAGCUUGACUGCGAGACCUACAAGUCGAGCAGGGUCGAAAGACGGACUUAGUGAUCCGGUGGUUCCGCAUGGAAGGGCCAUCGCUCAACGGAUAAAAGCUACCCCGGGGAUAACAGGCUUAUCUCCCCCAAGAGUUCACAUCGACGGGGAGGUUUGGCACCUCGAUGUCGGCUCAUCGCAUCCUGGGGCUGUAGUCGGUCCCAAGGGUUGGGCUGUUCGCCCAUUAAAGCGGUACGCUAGCUGGGUUCAGAACGUCGUGAGACAGUUCGGUCCCUAUCCGUCGUGGGCGUAGGAAAUUUGAGAGGAGCUGUCCUUAGUACGAGAGGACCGGGAUGGACAUACCUCUGGUGUACCAGUUGUCGUGCCAACGGCAUAGCUGGGUAGCUAUGUAUGGACGGGAUAAGUGCUGAAAGCAUCUAAGCAUGAAGCCCCCCUCAAGAUGAGAUUUCCCAACUUCGGUUAUAAGAUCCCUCGAAGAUGACGAGGUUAAUAGGUUCGAGGUGGAAGCGUGGUGACACGUGGAGCUGACGAAUACUAAUCGAUCGAAGACUUAAUCAAUUUUUAAA